GAUGAACGCUGGCGGCGUGCCUAAUACAUGCAAGUCGAGCGAACAGACGAGGAGCUUGCUCCUCUGACGUUAGCGGCGCACGGGUGAGUAACACGUGGAUAACCUACCUAUAAGACUGGUAUAACUUCGGGACACCGGAGCUAAUACCGGAUAAUAUAUUGAACCGCAUGGUUCAAUAGUGAAAGACGGCUUUGCUGUCACUUCUAGAUGGAUCCGCGCCGCAUUAGCUAGUUGGUAAGGUAACGGCUUAUCAAGGCAACGAUGCGUAGGCGACCUGAGAGAGUGAUCGGCCACACUGGAGCUGAGACACGGUCCAGACUCCUACGGGAGGCAGCAGUAGGGAAUCUUCCGCAAUGGGCGAAAGCUUGACGGAGCAACGCCGCGUGAGUGAUGAAGGUCUUCGGAGCGUAAAACUCUGUUAUUAGGGAAGAACAAAUGUGUAAGUAACUAUGCACGUCUUGACGGUACCUAAUCAGAAAGCCACGGCUAACUACGUG
rnacentral:rRNA from 1 species